AUUGAACGCUGGCGGCAUGCCUUACACAUGCAAGUCGAACGGCAGCACGGGUGCUUGCACCUGGUGGCGAGUGGCGAACGGGUGAGUAAUACAUCGGAACAUGUCCUGUAGUGGGGGAUAGCCCGGCGAAAGCCGGAUUAAUACCGCAUACGAUCCACGGAUGAAAGCGGGGGACCUUCGGGCCUCGCGCUAUAGGGUCGGCCGAUGGCUGAUUAGCUAGUUGGUGGGGUAAAGGCCUACCAAGGCGACGAUCAGUAGCUGGUCUGAGAGGACGACCAGCCACACUGGGACUGAGACACGGCCCAGACUCCUACGGGAGGCAGCAGUGGGGAAUUUUGGACAAUGGGCGAAAGCCUGAUCCAGCAAUGCCGCGUGUGUGAAGAAGGCCUUCGGGUUGUAAAGCACUUUUGUCCGGAAAGAAAUCCUUGACUCUAAUACAGUCGGGGGAUGACGGUACCGGAAGAAUAAGCACCGGCUAACUACGUG
rnacentral:rRNA from 1 species